GGUUGGGUCCUACGCAACAACUACCUGCGAACCGGGUCAGGUCCGGAAGGAAGCAGCCCUAAGUAGGCAAGUGUGUGCCGUAGGGGUGCCCGGCCGGAGCCACA
rnacentral:SRP_RNA from 1 species